AACAUAAACCAGAGAAUAAUUACUGUCUGUUUCGUAGUUUGUUAUUGUCGUAAAUGCAAACAGUACUACCUUCAAAAAGAAGAAGAGGAGGAGGAGGAGGAGGUCUGUUUAAUUUUGGUGGCAAGGAGAGAGAGAGAGAGAGAGGCGAGGAAGAGAGACAGGGUAAAGGUGGUUGUAAUGGGGAGGCCGGGAGGGUAUUUGCAGUAGGAUUAGAUGCAGAAGGUAAUGGUUCUUACAGGUGCAGGUUCUGCGACAACCCUCUUGCUCUCGGAUUUUUUAGGACAAGAUGCCUCUGGGGCGCAAGUUUAUUGCCAGUGGUAAUAUGAUCUGACUGUCUGGAUUUUGUAAUGCGGUCAAUAUAUCAGUUGGGCCACCUGAUGAAAAAAGGGAAUAUAUUACCAAGAUGAUUAUGCAAUCAGAUUUACCACAUGCUUUCCCCUGAAAAUAAAAAUUGCAGAUAUACAUAUACUAUGCCUCUCGGUCACGCCUACCUACCUGAAGUUGCCUUCCCUCAGCCCAAAAGGACUCAACAGCUCUAUGGACCUUUUGUUUCACCGAGAGAAGUGUAGUGGGAAUUAGGAACAUGUUGUUGUCGAGAGUAUAUUUUUCAAUGGAAACACAAACAUUUUAGAUCUCUAUCGAGCAGGUUGUAAUGAUUGAUUUCAUUCGAGGUGCAUCCAUCCCCAGGGAGAAUGUUUUUAUUUAAAUUAAUUCCAUCCAUCAUGCUCAGAUUUGCUGUAGAAUUCGCUGAUGCUGCAGCUUGGUAACUUGAAAACGAAGCUAUAUGAAUCCUUUUUGUACGAUAUGUAAUGUGCAUACCUGAAAGUUUCGUUUUC